rnacentral:rRNA from 1 species
CUACGGGUGGCAGCAGUUAGGUAUAAUCUACAAUGCGCGCAAGCGCGAUAGUUUGAGCCAGAGUGCGUUUCUAUUGAAAUGCUUUUGCCGAGUGUAAAAAGCUCGGCGAAUAAGGACUGGGUAAGACAGGUGCCAGCCGCCGCGGUAAUACCUGCGGUCCAAGUCGCAGCCAUUUUUAUUGGGUCUAAAACAUCCGUAGCUUGCUUGACAAGUUUCUUGUGAAAUAUUAUGUCUUAAACAUAAUGCGGGCAAGAAGUACUAUUAAGCUAGAGACUGGGAGACGUAAAGAGUACGUUCAAAGUAGCGGUAAAAUGCUUUAAUCUUGGACAGACUAACAACAGCGAAGGCACUUUACGAGAACUGUUCUGACAGUAAGGGAUGAAGGCUAGGGGCGCGAAACGGAUUAGAUACCCUCGUAGUC